UCUAUUAUUUUUCUUUAUUCCUUUUUUAUUGCAUAUAAUUUCAAUUUGAAUAAACUCAUUUCCAUCAACUAAAGUUCGUAUUAUUUGUUUUCGGACCACAUGCAACAUGCUGCAGCUCGCGCGAUGUUCGAGCCGAGUUCGUUUAUUUACUGUUCGCUGUUGUUGUUGUGUUCGCUCGUGCCGGCGUCGAGCCGAUGCGCUCAGGUUGGGUCCGUUGCCUCCGUUGCCUCUGCUGCCAGCGCUGGCUCUGCUGCCUGCGCUGCUGCUGACUGCUGACUGCUGCCGGCUGCUGGCGUCGUCGGGGUUGGUUUGCCGUUCGCUUGUGCACGGCACAAUCAGUUGUUGUGUAUCCUUCGAAGGGUGAAAAGUUUCCUAAAUACAAAAACUUUUGCACCGCCGCCGUCGCUACGUUCGAGCGCCAGAAACGAGUGCGAGUUGCCAGUGUCAGCCCGCUGUCCGCUGCGAGCUGCAAGUCGUGAGUGGAGCGUUGCCGUCGCCAGCUUCAGCUACAGCUGCAUAUACAGAUACAGCUAUAGCUACAGUUAGUGCGCCAACAUCUUUUGUUGUUAAUUUCCGCGUAUGAUUUUCCUUUUCACACCACAAACAACUUUUGGGCAGUCAGUGAUCAAGGAUUGCAGUUCAAAUGGAAUGGAAAUCCAGUUUCCACAAUGCUCUAACAACAACAAUCUUGCAACAAUGCUGCUCUCGUGAAUAGUGCAACAUCAACAACAACAACAACAGCUACGGCAAAUGUUUAACAACAAUUUGAAUUUACCUGCAGCUUUGCAUCGUUUCUUUGCGUUAACAUUUUACUUUUCGCGUCGCGUUCGCAUCUUUCGCGUUUUUUUCGUAUUGUAAACAAAUUUUCGAUUUCGUUCCCGAUUGCCGUCGUUCGUUUUGAUUCGUGCGCGAUUUCGCGGGUUCUUUUCCUUAAUAACGGUAUUCAGUUGCUCAGUAGAUCCUUAAAAAAAAACAAAACAAAACAAAAAGCAACUCUAAAUAUAAAGAUCGCAUUUUCCCCAGUGGCACCAACGGUCGAACCAACGGCAAUGGAUUAACAACGAUUUUGAACCAAAGGAUUUAAACAACAACAACAACAUUUUAGCAUAAGAAAUUGAACGCAAAAUUUCUCUUUGGCUAAUAAUCAAACAAAUUUCAACUCGAAUGCUAACCAAAAAUUCAUAAAAACGACAGAAAAUCAACUAAGACAAAAAUGUAUUAAGUUUAUACAAACAAAGAUAAAUAAUAGCUUAACUAAAUUGAAUAACAAAUAAAGCGAUAAUGUUUAAUUAAUUCGUAAGGUAACCCAACAAACA